GUUGCCUGCUCAUGUCUCUGGGAUUGACCAUUUAGUGUUGGGUAGUUACCAGGGUGACCAUUCCUAGGGACACUAUUUCUCCCAUUCAUAGCAGUUGUUAACUGCUUAUAGUUCUUUAUCUAGGGUUGGCAUCCCAUGAGAUUGCUCCCAUCUGCAUUAGGCUAUCAAUUAUUACUAUUCAGGUCUCUUUUGUUGUUGUUGUUGUGUUGGUUGGUUUUGGUUUUUCAAGAUAGGGUUUCUGU
rnacentral:lncRNA from 1 species